AGGGUUUGAUUCUGGCUCAGGAUGAACGCUGGCGGCGUGCUUAACACAUGCAAGUCGAACGGGAAACCUUUUAAAGAAGCUUCGGCAGAUUUAGCUGGUUUCUAGUGGCGGACGGGUGAGUAACGCGUGGGUAACCUGCCUUGUACAGGGGGAUAACAGUCAGAAAUGACUGCUAAUACCGCAUAAGCGCACAGGACCGCAUGGUCCAGUGUGAAAAACUCCGGUGGUAUAAGAUGGACCCGCGUUGGAUUAGCUAGUUGGUGGGGUAACGGCCUACCAAGGCGACGAUCCAUAGCCGGCCUGAGAGGGUGAACGGCCACAUUGGGACUGAGACACGGCCCAG
rnacentral:rRNA from 1 species